GAAAUCAAUCCGAUCCCCACUGCCUAAAGCGUGCGCCAUGGUGCUGGGGGCGGCAGGGUGUGUCGGGAAACGGGCACGCCUCCCAUUGUGGAAAGGAGAUAAUUAUGAAAA
rnacentral:ncRNA from 1 species